GACGAACGCUGGCGGCGUGCUUAACACAUGCAAGUCGUACGGUAAAGCCCUUUCGGGGGUACACGAGUGGCGAACGGGUGAGUAACACGUGAGUAACCUGCCCACAACUUUGGGAUAACGCUAGGAAACUGGUGCUAAUACUGGAUAUGUGCUCCUGCUGCAUGGUGGGGGUUGGAAAGCUCCGGCGGUUGUGGAUGGACUCGCGGCCUAUCAGCUUGUUGGUGGGGUAGUGGCCUACCAAGGCGGCGACGGGUAACCGGCCUGAGAGGGUGACCGGCCACAUUGGGACUGAGAUACGGCCCAGACUCCUACGGGAGGCAGCAGUGGGGAAUAUUGCACAAUGGGCGCAAGCCUGAUGCAGCAACGCCGCGUGCGGGAUGACGGCCUUCGGGUUGUAAACCGCUUUCAGCAGGGACGAAGCUUUUUGUGACGGUACCUGCAGAAGAAGCACCGGCUAACUACGUG
rnacentral:rRNA from 1 species